UUUUAUCUUUUAAAGUUAGAAAUUUAAAGGGCUCCUCUUGCUCUCCGUGCAACCGUUCACCUGCCUUAUUAAAUAAGGUAGCCGGAAACCAAAAGCCACGAGUGGAGAGAAUUCAAACGGGCCGUGGUAAUUCAAAACUAGAGAGAGGGAUGAGAAUCCUCGAAUCGUCUCGCUUCUUUCUCCCACUUUCCACCGAGUUACUUGGUCUGUAAUUGCAGACAAGUGAGAGUCAAGAACCACACAAGUCGCUGUUCUUUUCUUCUUCUUCCCAUUUCUCAGCAGUGGCAGAGUAGUUCCUUGGCAGUUGCAAGCAAGUUCUUCUCCUCCUGCGCUUGUGACAACCUCCAGCAGAGAGGCAGUCAUUUAUGGACUCUGAGAAUAACCAUAUGGACAAGGAGUUGAUCAUUAUCAUCUCCUUGUCCGCGCUUGCUGUUAUUGCAAUAGCUCUAUCUGCCAUUUUUGCCUGGAUCUCCUGCCGAAAGAAUCAUAAAGAUUCUUCGAUUAAAAGGAUUUCCUUUGACUCC